UACGUAGGGGGCAAGCGUUGUCCGGAAUCAUUGGGCGUAAAGCGCGUGUAGGCGGCUCGGUAAGUCCGCUCUGAAAGUCCAGGGCUCAACCCUGGGAUGCGGGUGGAUAUUGCCGGGCUCGAGUCCGGAAGAGGCGAGUGGAAUUCCCGGUGUAGCGGUGAAAUGCGCAGAUAUCGGGAGGAACGCCGGUGGCGAAAGCGACUGUCUGGGGUGCCUGUGACGCUGAGGCGCGAAAGCCAGGGGAUCAAACGGGG
rnacentral:rRNA from 1 species